GCGGGUGCUGGGGCGGGCGGGGAACCGGCCCACGGUCACACCGGGGGAGCAGCGGCAAAGCGGCACCGGGCAGCCACCCCAGCCCCGGUUCCUGCACAUCACUCCUAGCCAGGCAGAGAUGGGCGCUGGCAGAGGUCCCUCGAGCCCCCACGCUGGGCUGAACGGAGUUCAACACCAUUUCUGCAUCUCUCCAGCUGGGACCGGGAGAGAGGAGCGGAGCGAGGGCCUGGAGAAAUCGAGGCACGGCGAGGGCUGAAGACAGCGGGGCAGCCGGCGGAGGACACCUCCAGGAGGGAGGAUGGAGUGGAACAAUGUCCUGCCUGCCACUGGUGGCUCGCCAUCAGGUAUCCGUGAGGGUUGGAGGGUGCCAUGGGCACGGAGCCCCGUGGAGGGAGGUGGGCUGUGCUGUGAGCCCCACCUCGGGGCACAGAGCACGGGGGACAGAGCCUAGGGGGCCUUCCUGGAGGGUGCCAGCAUGGCUGCGAGCUGCUCCGUGCCCGCUGGCAGCUGGCAAAAAUCACUUACAGCAGCUUUUGCCGGCGACAGGACUUAUCUCACCCUCCCAAGGGACUGUCGGGCUCCAGGGGGUCUGGCCCAGCCCAGCAAGGAUUAUUUUUUUGCCAACCAAUUCCCCGUGGAUGCAGAUCUGCCCUAACCUUGAGCUUGCACCUCAGGGGGGCAUCGCUGUUCACACUUAGGGCAGUUUAAUUAGCAGAGAGCCCUCAGCCCUCUGUGCCUGCUUAAACCCGCUGGAACUGGCCAAAACAUGGCAGGGAGGGCAUGGAAUGACCAGCUGGGCAGAUAAUGCUGUUGAGUCUUGUUUUCCCAGAGUGACCUAAGAGGAGGGUCCAGGUGCCAUGCUUUGGAGCACUGUGCUUUCCAGAAAGACUUCUCUGGGUGCUGUGGCUACAAAGGGCUGCUCAGAGGGGCAGAUGGGGCAAAACCUGCUCCCAGCCCUGAUGCUUUUGGCUUGGGAACUGCAGCACUCACAGCUGAUUCUGGGUGAGAUUCAGGCAAGGCCACUUUCCCGGCCUCUGCCAGGACACAGUCCAGCGUUUGUAAACAGCCCUGAAGUUCCUCAGCAAGGUGUCAUGGGAGGAAAUAGCUGGAUGCCGGGGAGUGCAGCGUCCUGACCUGCCCCUCACCCUUCUUGGUGACUAACCCGCUCCCAAUUUCCGCUCAGGAAGGCACGAGUCACUUUGGGAGGAUGUGGGAGCAGCUGUCACACUGCUCCUGGCAGGUGCCACAGGGCGAUGAGGCUGCUUUGGGCUCUGUCCUCACCACACUACAUCCGUCCAUGGCCCCGUGCCGCAGGAAUCCCCCUUUGCCCCGCCUGCCUGCGCUUGGAAUAGGAGUGGAAUGCCCAUCCAGGCUCUGCUGGCCACGGUCAUGCUGUGGGAAAAGGGGCUGAGAGUGGCUUCAUCAUGAGGUAUCAAGGAUGGCAAAGGGCGCAGGAAGGUUUCGGGAAGGGCUGCCCAUGGCAGGGAUGCCAAGGGCAGGGAAACGAGGAGGCCGCAGCCAGGUUUUUCUAAGUGGGGCGUGGGACCAGCAUAAACUCAGCCUCUGUGAUGGCAGGGGACACCUGGGCAGAGCUUAUUCAUCUUAGUGCUGAUCUGUGGGGACUUCACAACAGCCCAUCCCAAUGCUGUGCCACUCUUGGACACCCGCUCCAUGCCAUGGCCAGCCCUGUGGCCACCAUCAGCCCCAGGCAGGUCCCUGCAGCCACAGGCUGAUCCGACCCUGCCCCACGUGGACACCACUUGUUUGCCUUCGGAUGCGCUGCCUAACGCGGCAGUGGGAUCACCUCCUUCCCCGCUUAGUGCUGAAAACCAGUUUGGGGCUGUGGUAAUUACGGGAGCCCUAACGAGCUCCCUCGACCCCCCGGGUCAGCCCGAGGGGUGCUCGGCAGCCGGUCGGGUUUGUCCUGAUCGGCUCCAUUCCCGCGCCGUGGCUCAGGCCGUGUGCGUGGGCGGGAGCGCCGGGAUGUGCCGUGGGGAUGCAGCAGGAGCUGGAGCCGGCGGGGACAGCUGGUGGAGGAUCCCCCCACCUCCUUCCUCAUCGCCCACGGAGCAGCGUGCCCCAGGCCAGCUGAGAUCACUGGGAGGGCCUGUGGGGUAUCCCAGACCUCACAGACACCAUCUGGGAGAGAAGGCUUGUGUAUUUGAAGCACCGUGCCUCUGGCUUGCUGGAGAAGGUGGUGGAUGCUCUGAGUCUGGGGAAACUGAGGCAGAAGCAGCAGACAAGGUUUGUCUUGAGCUGUGCAAGAAGGCAAGAGUUAAAUAUGACAAUUAACCCUCUCCAGGCUCCUCCUGCUCCGGCCCCCAGCUGCUGGAGGAGCUAGACCCCACAGGGAGCUUAUGCUGGGGGAAGAAAGCACAGAGGCUGGGGACUUUCCAGACCCUGCCUUAACCCUUUGUGCCCCCAACUGAUGGAUCCCGGGAGCUGCAGCACGGGCCUGGAGCGCUCUGUGCCAGGGCAGGCCUGGAUUUCAGGAUCCCACUGCCCUCAUUGCAGCGCCGGAGGAGCUGUGCAGAGGACGUGGCUCUGCUGCAAGAUGAGCUGCAGCGUUUCCCUUCGAGACACGCAGCUCCUCCAGAUCCCUGCCCGCUCUGCCACAUCCGCCGGCAGCCGCCCGGGGACGGGAGGGGGAUGCACUCAUCCCGGAUCCAUCUCUUUUAGCAUCAUUCCCACUGCUGAAGGAAAGUCAUUGGGAUCACCUGAGCUGGGACACAGUUCUGGGCUCUGCCACUGAUUUGCUGCAGAACUUGGGCAAGUGGCUGCACCCUCUCCCUGCCUCCGUGACCCAGGAGCAGCAGGUAUCCCCCACAAUCCAGCUUCACUUGGGGCCCAAGGCUUGAGCCUGGAGGAUUCCCAGCCUCCAAGGGGCUGGGGGUUUUCUGGCAGCUCCUAAAUCUCAGCCAGGCUCUGCAACCCCGCUGGGGGGCUGCUCCCCAGCCCUGACCCUCUGCCAAGCUCUCGACAGCUGCCGGCACAGCCCGGGACCGCAGGGCUCACCGGGAAGCCUGAACAAUGCCGACCAGCUGAGAUCAUUCCUCCCAGCUGAUUAUUUGCUCAAAAAUAUUUCUGAGCUCAGGCCUCCUCAGGGAAAACACUCCCAAACACCCGGCAAAAAGCUGCUGAGUCUGGAGGAACCACCUCUUUCACUCGGCCGAGACACCCCCCCUGCGAUGACAAGCCCUGGCGUCAGAGGGAUUGAGGCCAAAGUCUGCUGUUUGAUCUCCCCCUGGGCUGGGGGAAGCCGAAUUUCAGGCCCUCUCGGGGCUUUCACCACUUCCCUGUAGUGGUUUCCUGCCGUGAUGGGAGUGCAGGAAUUUUUGGGAGGCACGCUCCGGCCACCCCACCCGGGCUCCAGGGAGAAACUUGGUGAAGAAUAAAGAGCAAAAACCUCAUCCGGCUCUGCAGGAAACUGCCUGCAAUGGCUGUCCCACCCCACGGAACUGCCCCCGAGCAGCGCCGAGGCCUGGUUUUCCCCGGGGAGCAAUGCAGGACUUGGCAGAGCUGAGGAACUGCCCUCCCUGGUCGCUGAAAUUCAACCUAUAAAGCGAGUUCCUGGUAAAGGAACCUCCCAGGUUUUCCCUGCUGGGCUGUUAAAGCUCCGUAACCCCCUGCCCACUCUCCCCCUCCAGCACUGCUCAAGCCCCUCUGUGCAGAGAAUAACUGCGUGGUGUCCAGAGAGUGAGACUGAGCCGGGAUAAGCCUUUGGAAAGGAGCUAAACCUGCUCAAAGCCGGCGCUGUUCCCUGACCCGCCCUCCUAAUCCUGCCCAGCUCAUAAUGGAAUAAUAAAGGGCUGCACAGCCUCGCUCUCCGCCGCGCUGUGGGGGAGGUUCCUGCUGCCUCUGUACAUGCCAGGAGCUGGGAUAUUAAUUACUCCCUAAGUAAACAGAAUUGCUCCUUUCUUCUCCUUUGCCUGGCUGUAAAACCGAGCGUGACCUUCAGCCCGCAGAGAAAUCAGAGUCCGUUCCCUUUUCCAGGAGAAAGGCUGGCUGUGGCAGUGAUAACGGCGUGAUCUCUGCCUGCCACCCCUUCCCUGGGCUCCUCAGGGGCCGAUCCCAACCCUGCACCUCCAGCAGCCAUCCUGGUGGGACCCCCAGGCUGCUGGGCCUUCCCCCCCCGAAGGGAUGAAAGCUGCGGAUUCACCGAGGGGGAAUCUCAGGAACACAGGGCGGGAUGAUUUUGGGACACCAAGCCCCUUCCAAGGUGUGUCUUGCUGUGCCGGGGGCUGCCCCGCAGCAGAACAAACAGACUUGUUGCAUCUCGGCCUCAGCAGCUGGGAAAAAGCACAGGGAAGUGACAAUACCAGCGGGAUCCACCCCCAAUGGCCGGCAGGGCUCUGAACACCCCACAGGGCAGCAGGAAUGAGGGCAGGAGGAGGAUGAGCAGGGACCCAGAGGGCAAAGCAGAGGCUGAGGGCACUCAGAGGCCACAGCAUCAUCCCUUGAGCUGAGGCUGCCGAGCGAGGAUCCAGCUGGGAAGGGGUUAAACAGCCCUUCCUGCUCCACACACCUGAUUCCAGGCAGCCAGGAGGGAAGGGCUUUAAAAGAGAAGGGCAGGAGGAGGUUGUGUGGGGGUAUUUGGUCAUGGUCCCUGCAGUGCCUGGGUACUUUCCCACCCUUGUUCCCCCCUGUUUGGGUGUCCCUGCAGGAGAAUGUCCCUGCUCCCCUGGGAGCUGCCGUUUCUCUGGUGGGUGCAGGAGGGAAGCAGCCAACUUCUUCCUCACAAAACCAGUCUGGCUCCCACCCAGAGCUCCUUUCGAAGGACAAAGCCAGCAACCCGUGAGGAGGUUGGUGCUGUGAGUGCUGUGAGCAGCUGCUGAUAACACACAUCUGCGUGUGGGGCCGAGGGGGAGCCUGGCCUGGGGUGCCCACGAGGGGGAUCUGGGCUGGCUGGCAAAUGGAUGCUGUGGAUUCAUCCCAGGAUUAUUCCAGCCCGAGGGCCCGAUCAGAACCCCACGCCUGGCUGUGCUGCCUCCUCGGAGUGAACUCGGGCAGCUGAUGCUGUCAGCUCUCGCCUUGUCUUGCGGGAUGUGGGAGUCGGGCUGGAAUAGCCCCCGCUCUGCCCAGGCAUGAGGGACCCGCAGGGGACACGGCAGGAGGAGACGUGGGGAUGGAAUACACCACAGGGACAGGUGGCAUGUCACCAGUUUGGUGAAGGGAGAUGAAACCUUCCAUCCUGGUGCCAUGUGGAGGGGACACAGGCACUUCUGUCUCGUUUGCACAGAGGAUGCUGGAGAGGGACAACCUUUAACGAAGUGUUCAGCGGAAGGGGAGCGAUGGCAGUGCUGCAGCUCCCAGCUGAGCAUGAAAUGUUUGUGACAGGGAGUCGUUGCCAGAGGCACGCCUGCCAUCACACACCCGGCCCCACGCGCCAGAGCAGCCCAGGGAGCCGCUGAGUCAUGGAAUGUCCAUCCUGCGUGGCCUCAGUGAAGCCCACUGGGCUUCCUGCUCCUUCCCCACUCCCAGCUAUAAGGACACAGGCCAAGGGAUGAUGAUCUUGCACAGCAACUUAGAAAACUUCCAGGGAAAACCUCUCCCUUCUAUGGUGAACCCAGCAAUGGUGGUGAAAUUAAUGCUGUUUGCCUUCCCUGCAAUGUAUAAUUUCUGUGAGAUAUCCUCAUUUCUGCUGCUUUGUUGGGUGAUCUGAGUCAUCCUGACCAUAGGGGGAUGGAUCCUGAUGGUGGUGUCACUUCCUCUCGCUUUCCCAGCUUCUGAGGCUGAUAUAUAUAUAUAUAUAUAUAUA